rnacentral:rRNA from 1 species
AACGACGCUGGCGGCGCGUUUUAAGCAUGCAAGUCGAGCGGUAAGCUAACUUCGGUUAGCCUAGAGCGGCGGACGGGUGAGUAACGCGUGGGCAACCUGCCCUGUACAGAGGGAUAGCCACUGGAAACGGUGAUUAAUACCUCAUAUUACUGGAAAAUCGCAUGAUUAACCAGUGAAAGCUCCGGCGGUACAGGAUGGGCCCGCGUCUGAUUAGCUAGUUGGUAAGGUAACGGCUUACCAAGGCGACGAUCAGUAGCCGACCUGAGAGGGUGAUCGGCCACACUGGAACUGAGACACGGUCCAG